rnacentral:sRNA from 1 species
GAUCCCGGAGGUCACCGUCCGCCGGCGCGUCGCGCUCGCGGGCGCGAUCGUC